UCGAGGGGUAUAAGUAGCAAUACUUAGAGACCGGCGCACGGGUGAGUAACGCGUAUGCAACCUGCCCUUUACUGGAGGAUAGCCCGUAGAAAUGCGGAUUAAUACCCCAUAGUAAUGUUGGAUCGCAUGAUCUGGCAUUUAAAGUUUCGGCGGUAAAGGAUGGGCAUGCGUGACAUUAGCUAGUUGGAGAGGUAACGGCUCACCAAGGCUUCGAUGUCUAGGGGUUCUGAGAGGAAGAUCCCCCACACUGGUACUGAGACACGGACCAGACUCCUACGGGAGGCAGCAGUGAGGAAUAUUGGUCAAUGGGCGAGAGCCUGAACCAGCCAUCCCGCGUGCAGGAAGAAUGCCCUAUGGGUUGUAAACUGCUUUUUCGCAUGAAGAACACCCCUGACGUGUCAGGGGCUGACGGUAAUGCGUGAAUAAGCACCGGCUAACUCCGUGCCAGCAGCCGCGGUAAUACGGAGGGUGCAAGCGUUAUCCGGAUUUAUUGGGUUUAAAGGGUGCGUAGGCGGCUAUUUAAGUCAGUGGUGAAAUCCUGCAGCUUAACUGUAGAACAGCCAUUGAAACUGAAUAGCUUGAGUGAUCUUGAGGUAGGCGGAAUGUGUAGUGUAGCGGUGAAAUGCUUAGAUAUUACACAGAACACCGAUUGCGAAGGCAGCUUACUAAGGAUUUACUGACGCUGAUGCACGAAAGCGUGNGGAUCAAACAGGAUUAGAUACCCUGNUAGUCCACGCCGUAAACGAUGAUAACUCGCUGUUGGCGAUACACAGUCAGCGGCU
rnacentral:rRNA from 1 species